rnacentral:lncRNA from 1 species
GUCAUAAACAUAUGUCUUGGGUAUUUCAAAGCACCAUUAUUUUUUUAUUUGGGGUUUCUAUAGAAUAUUUUGUAAACUUGAGGUUACAUGGUUACUAAAGCUUUUACACAGGUUAAAUAAGGGGAGAUUGGUUAACUUCCAGUGAUGGUUAUUUUCUUAUAUGCAAUGAAAUGUUAUGUGAAUUUUUUUCUAUAGUACUGGACAGGAUUAAAC